rnacentral:lncRNA from 1 species
AUGCCUGAAUUACGGCACGAGGGAAAAAAAUUGGAAGCUCCUCUCGCCCAUUGCAAGCAUUUCCAAGGAACUGCGCUGGAAUUCAGUUUUGCCUCCCACCGUUUCCCAUUGACGCGGAUAGCCUCCUUACUCCAGAUUAACAUUAACAUUAAAUGCCGCUUCAUUUUCCUGAAAUCGGUCUGCGGUGGGCUUGAUAAGGACGGGCAGAGAUGUUGCGCUGCAGCCGGACAAGAGAGUUGCCGCGCGCUGUUGCCAACGUUCCGAAUGGAAUGCGGUGAACAUUCUAAAUGGAACCUUGGAGCGGAAGUUGGCGAGAAGCGGGCGUCUUCCUCCGGGCACGUGCUUCGGCUUCGCUCGUGUAUUUUGCGAGUCCCAGAGAGACGCCAAGAGUGUGAACACGUGAGCUCACGCUCGCUGAAGUGUGAACAGGAUCGCAGUCUGAGCAAAACAGCGGAAGGAAGACGCGUCUUAAGCUUUCUUUGAAGCCCUUAUUGGGAAAGCAUCCAGGAGCGCAAGCCGAGCCUAAUUUAUGCUUGCUGCCGAAGGCGGCACUCCUUGAGGAGAACAAGCCCCACCAAACACAAUGGAAGAUUAUACAGAGGAUCGGGUUAUCGUUCUGCUAAACUGGACGGUACUCUCAAACAAGGCUGCGUCGCGCAGAACGAUCCUAAAGGCGACCUUACUUGGAAUUAAGCCCCACUGAGUUCAUUAGGACUCCGGUUCUAUUAGAUAAACUAAGGAGCAACCACAUGGAGAGGCCAGGAGGCCCUUGAGUCCGGCCUGCGCGCAUCUAAGUGAGCGCGAUCCAUGGGUCUCCUUGCAUCAUGCAGGUUCCCUUAGGAACACGAUCUCGCAGUCCUAAUUUGCGGGAAGAGUAUCCACUCCCGCUGCUUCUCCAACCCCCUCUGGUGCUGCGGAUCCAUCUUUAGAAGUCCGACUGGGAUUGGGCUAGUGGGCACAGGAUUGCAGCCACCCAACCCAGGCCUACAGGGGCUAACUCAAAAGGAGUCCGGCUCAGUUCCAUGGCGCCUGGACCGCCUCCCUCCUGUAGAGAGUCUCGCACACAAUUUGGGUCAGCUUGCACCGGAUGCGCUGAAGAACCAGGUCCAAGCCUAGAUUCAUCAACGUUUAGUUCUACAAGAUUUUCACGAUGCUGAGCCCACCUUCCCGGCGCUCUCAGGCUUUAACUUGCUUGCGCAUUGUCUUGUGUUUCGUCUUUGAAAGGUGAGACACACGCCCACAUAUAAGCACGGACCUCCGCCCGCAGCAACCCAGGUUCGGUGCAACUUAAAGAACAGUCGAUCUUCCGCUGAACAGAUCAAGCUGUGCAACCCAGUCGCCCGGGGUGCCACUUCCACCGCUGCCUGAAAAGGAUGAUUGGCACCGAAAGGGGCACCGGCGGAUGUGCCUGCACGCCCGUCCCUCUGCCUAUGAAAAGGCAGCGGACAUUUUUCUCCGCCGCCCCCCCUUUUCCUCAAUAAGACGGGAACCACACCCAAGUGCUUUUGAAGAAAAUAAAGUCAUUUAUUGUCAAAGCA